UUUGCGGGUUUUCACUUUGGCCUUUCUUUUUCUUUUUCCAUCAUUUUUCUUUUUUUUUGAUUUUUUGAUUUUUGAUCUUGAUUUUUUUUGAAUCUGAACUCAUAGGAUUAGGCAAGUCAUUGUUCCCUUUCGAUCAGAAUCAAUGUUUUUCCAGAUAGAGUCUACCACAUAAGAUCUUUCAUUUUCAUUUUAUAUGCGAAAGAUCUUCGUUG
rnacentral:lncRNA from 1 species